rnacentral:rRNA from 1 species
CCUACGUGCGGCUGCAGUAGGGAAUAUUGCUCAAUGGGGGGAACCCUGAAGCAGCAACGCCGCGUGGAGGAUGAAGGUUUUCGGAUUGUAAAGUCCUUUUGUUAGGGAAGAUAAUGACGGUAUCUAACGAAUAAGCACCGGCUCACUCCGUGCGAGCAGCCGCGGUAAUACGGCGGGUGCAAGCGUUACUCGGAAUCACUGGGCGUAAAGGGCGCGUAGGCGGGUAAGCAAGUCAGAUGUGAAAUCCUAUGGCUUAACCAUAGAAUUGCAUUUGAAACUGGUAUUCUAGAGUAUGGGAGAGGUAGGUGGAAUGCUUGGCGUAGGGGUAAAAUCCGUAGAGAUCUAGAGGAAUACUCAUUGCGAAGGCGACCUGCUAGAACAUAACUGACGCUGAUGCGCGAAAGCGUGGGGAGCAAACAUGAUUAGAUACCCGUGUAGUC